CGGCGAGUGAAGCGGCAAGAGCUCAAAUUUGAAAUCUGGCCUCCCUUGGGGGGUCCGAGUUGUAAUUUGUAGAGGAUGCUUCGGGUGUGGCCGCCGUCUAAGUUCCUUGGAACAGGACGUCGUAGAGGGUGAGAAUCCCGUCUUGGGCGGCCGGCCCGCGCCCGUGUGAAGCUCCUUCGACGAGUCGAGUUGUUUGGGAAUGCAGCUCUAAGCGGGUGGUAAAUUUCAUCUAAAGCUAAAUACUGGCCGGAGACCGAUAGCGCACAAGUAGAGUGAUCGAAAGGUUAAAAGCACCUUGAAAAGGGAGUUAAACAGCACGUGAAAUUGUUGAAAGGGAAGCGCUUGCGGCCAGACUCGAGGGGCGGGGUUCAGCGGGUGCGCGUCACCCGUGCACUCCCCGUCCCCUCGGGCCAGCAUCAGUUUCGACGGCCGGUCAAAGGCCCCCGGAAUGUGUCGUCUCUAGGGACGUCUUAUAGCCGGGGGUGCAAUGCGGCCCGCCGGGACUGAGGAACGCGCUCCGGCUCGGAUGC
rnacentral:rRNA from 1 species